AGAACUAUUAUUACAGGAUAAAACAUUCUUGCAAAUCUUUGAAGACUUGGAUAAAACCAGCUGGUGGAUUAAGAUACCAGAAGGAAUAAGUAGUUACCAGCUGAGGGCCCCUUGGGCGUAAAGUCCUCUCCAGCCUGUGAUGCCUCUGGGUGCACGUCACAAUGCCUGCCAAGGCUCAUGCUCAGGGAAAAUGGGGAUAUCCAUUUAGAGAAAGCUACUAUCCCUACUCAGCACUGCGUAUGUCAUGCUGUGUUCCAUCUAAGGGCUCCCUUCCAGGGUAACAUUCUUUUUAACCGUCCGGCCAAAGUUUGCCUGAUAUCUGCCUUGGAGCUCACCCAAAGAAACUCGGCAGUGGAGGGCUCUGCACCACCUCAUCCAUGACGGCCACCUCAUCAGCAAGAAGAGCCGAUACAGUGGCUCCAUCAUGCACGGACUGGCCACACUGCAGUCCCGGCUCACAGAGCCCGGACCUGGACUGUGCCGAGAGCAGGUGGCAGAGCUGUUGGGCACGCAGAGCUGCUCGAUGCCCAGUUUACUCUGGACACCUUCCACAUGUGGAAGAAAAGCCAAGGUUUUUCUUCCAGCCCCACAGACUAGCCAGCCGUGGUCCCUGUGCCCACGUGGUGUCCCUUCUGCCCUGCUGGCUCCCCUGCUCACUGGUCCUGGGCUGUGGGCCUGAAAAGUCAGGGGGAGAGACUACCUGCACCAUGGGUUUCUUUUUUUUUUUUUUUAAGAAACUAUAUACAUUUGCAACCUUUUCUCCAGGUCAUCAUAAAAAGCACUUUAUAAAACAACCUAGGCUGAACAGCUUUGAUGCUCCCCCCCACCCCCAGCUGUCUGAACCUAAUCACAAAGAGGGGUGAGGCUGAGCCUUGUGAGGUGGAGGUGGGGAAGAAAUCAAAGGCUGGCUCUUCUGAUUGCUGCCCGCAUGCAUCAGAUGGGCCAGCCGCUUCCUUGACUUUCCUGGGGAGAGAGUGUUCAGCUAAUUAAUGCUACUUCUCUACAGGUGACUGGCAUUAAAGCUGUGUAAGUGCUUUUACCAGACUGGCUGCUCUGGGCUCCUGGGGCCCCUGAUUGUAGUGAAAUAAAUAACCCCUUUUCUGGAGUGGGGCCUUUCUCCCUCCGCCUCUCCACAGGGUGAUCUCACCAUAGAGGGAAUGCUGGAGGAUUCUGGGCUCUCUCAUCAGUUAAU